GCUUAGGCAAAUCCGGGCGCGGAAUUCAAGGGUGUGAGGCGAGCGGCUUAGGCCGCGAAGCAAUCGGGAGUGGUUCCAAGAAAAGCCUCUAAGCUUCAGUCUAACAAGACCGUACCGCAAACCGACACAGGUGGGCGAGAUGAGUAUUCUAAGGCGCUUGAGAGAACUCGGGAGAAGGAACUCGGCAGAUUGGUACCGUAACUUCGGGAUAAGGUACGCCCUUGUAGCUUGACUGGCCUGCGCCAGGAGGGUGAGAGGGUUGCAAUAAACUGGUGGCUGCGACUGUUUAAUAAAAACACAGCACUCUGCAAACACGAAAGUGGACGUAUAGGGUGUGACGCCUGCCCGGUGCCGGAAGAUUAAAUGAUGGGGUGCAAGCUCUUGAUUGAAGUCCCGGUAAACGGCGGCCGUAACAAUAACGGUCCUAAGGUAGCGAAAUUCCUUGUCGGGUAAGUUCCGACCUGCACGAAUGGCGUAACGAUGGCCACACUGUCUCCUCCCGAGACUCAGCGAAGUUGAAGUGUUUGUGAUGAUGCAAUCUCCCCGCGGCUAGACGGAAAGACCCCAUGAACCUUUACUGUAGCUUUGCAUUGGACUUUGAACCGAUCUGUGUAGGAUAGGUGGGAGGCUAUGAAACCGGAACGCUAGUUUCGGUGGAGCCGUCCUUGAAAUACCACCCUGGUUUGUUUGAGGUUCUAACCUUGGUCCGUUAUCCGGACUGGGGACAGUGCAUGGUAGGCAGUUUGACUGGGGCGGUCUCCUCCCAAAGUGUAACGGAGGAGUACGAAGGUACGCUAGGUAGGGUCGGAAAUCGUGCUGAUAGUGCAAUGGCAUAAGCGUGCUUAACUGCGAGACCGACAAGUCGAGCAGGUGCGAAAGCAGGUCAUAGUGAUCCGGUGGUUCUGUAUGGAAGGGCCAUCGCUCAACGGAUAAAAGGUACUCUGGGGAUAACAGGCUGAUACCGCCCAAGAGUUCAUAUCGACGGCGGUGUUUGGCACCUCGAUAUCGGCUCAUCUCAUCCUGGGGCUGUAGCCGGUCCCAAGGGUAUGGCUGUUCGCCAUUUAAAGAGGUACGUGAGCUGGGUUUAAAACGUCGUGAGACAGUUUGGUCCCUAUCUGCCGUGGGCGUUGGAUAUUUGAAGGGGGCUGCUCCUAGUACGAGAGGACCGGAGUGGACGAACCUCUGGUGUACCGGUUGUCACGCCAGUGGCAUCGCCGGGUAGCUAUGUUCGGAAGAGAUAACCGCUGAAAGCAUCUAAGCGGGAAACUCGCCUUAAGAUGAGAUAUCCCCGGGGACUUGAUCCCCUUGAAGGGUCGUUCUAGACCAGGACGUUGAUAGGUCAGGUGUGGAAGU
rnacentral:rRNA from 1 species